rnacentral:rRNA from 1 species
UACGUAGGGUGCAAGCGUUAUCCGGAAUUAUUGGGCGUAAAGAGCUCGUAGGCGGUUUGUCGCGUCUGCUGUGAAAACCCGAGGCUCAACCUCGGGCCUGCAGUGGGUACGGGCAGACUAGAGUGCGGUAGGGGAGAUUGGAAUUCCUGGUGUAGCGGUGGAAUGCGCAGAUAUCAGGAGGAACACCGAUGGCGAAGGCAGAUCUCUGGGCCGUAACUGACGCUAAGGAGCGAAAGCGUGGGGAGCGAACAGG